rnacentral:rRNA from 2 species
UGAAGCCAGGGUUGCUUGACUCUGAACCCAGGCGUUGAAUGUUUGAGCUCCAAGUGGGCCAUUUUUGGUAAGCAGAACUGGCGAUGUGGGAUGAACCAAACGUGGAGUUAAGGUGCCAAAGUGCCCGCUCAUUAGACCCCAUAAAAGGUGUUGGUUGAUAUAGACAGCAGGACGGUGGCCAUGGAAGUCGGAAUCCGCUAAGGAGUGUGUAACAACUCACCUGCCGAAUCAACUAGCCCUGAAAAUGGAUGGCGCUGGAGCGGGCCACCUAUACUCCACCGUCAUUGGCUUGUACACGUGCUUGUCGCGUAGUCUGGCCAUGACGUGUAGGAGGGUCGUGGUGGUUGCGUUGAAGGCUUUGGGCGUGGGCCCGGCCGGAGCUUCCACCAGUGCAGAUCUUGGUGGUAGUAGCAAAUAUUCAAGUGAGAUCCUUGAAGACUGAAGUGGAGAAGGGUUCCACGUGAACAGCAGUUGAAUGUGGGUCAGCCGAUCCUAAGGCACCGGCUAACGCCGUAACACACUACGGAUGACAACUUUUCUGUGCUUGCGCAGUUGGUCCAUCCGGUUGCCGAAAGGGAAGUGGGUUAACAUUCCCACGCCAGGCUAGGGAAAUGACGGUUCGCAAGAGCUGUUUUGCGCGGUAACGCAAAUGAACUCGCAGACGUCGUGUGGAGUCCGAGCCAGAGUUCUCUUUUCUGGUUUAGGGUGUGCGUGCCUGGAAGUGGCUCAGCCUGAGAUAGGGAUGUUGCGCCCGUAAAGCACCGCGGUUCCUGUGGUGUCUCGUGCGCUCCACACGGCCCUUGAAAAUGCGAGGGAAGCUAUUUGAAUCUCCUGCCUGAUCGUACCGAUAUCCGCAGCAGGUCUCCAAGGUGAACAGCCUCUAGUCGAUAGAAUAAUGUAGGUAAGGGAAGUCGGCAAAUUAGAUUCGUAACUUCGGGAAAAGAAUUGGCUCUAAAGGUCGGGUCAGCCGGGCUGUUGCGUGAAACAGGCGGCUUUUGCCCGUGGCUGCUUGCUGUUCCUUCGGGGAUGGUGCGUGGACUAGUGGUGAGAGCUGCUUGUGGAGCGCUUCAGCUGCGUGUAUGCUCGUCAGGGUAUGCACUUCGGUUGGCGCUGAACGACCAGUUUAGAAAAAAAACGAACUCGGGGAAUCCGACUGUCUAAUUAAAACAGAGGAGACGGAUGGUCCUUGUGGACGUUGACCGUGUCUGAUUUCUGCCCAGUGCUCUGAAUGUUAAGCCAAGGAAACUUGAAUAAGCGCGGGUAAACGGCGGGAGUAACUAUGACUCUCUUAAGGUAGCCAAAUGCCUCGUCGGCUAACUACCGACGCGCACGAAUGGAUCAACGAGAUUCCCACUGUCCGUAUCUACUAUCUAGCGAAACCACAGCCAAGGGAACGGGCUUGGCAAAUUUAGCGGGGAAAGAAGACCCUUAAAGGUUACUCUANNCUNACUUUAUAAAAAAUCAUNACUCAGAGUGGAGAAGUGGGAGCCGCAAGGCGCCAAUGAAAUACCACU